CUGAUGCUGUGGAUGUUGAUAAUGUUGAUGCCUCCGUUGAUCAACCAGGGACUGAAAUAGGUCAACUCAAAGCAGUCGUAAAUGCUGGGAUUGGCACAAACCAUGAAAAACGAACAGCCACAGUCAGAACACAUUGGAGCUAGGCUGAAGAAGACGUGGUAGAAAAUGGCCUUAAAAAGUGUUUUAAGCUUAAUACUCCACCAAAAAUAAGUUAGAAUGUCUUGAACUUAUAAAGAAGUAUCCAAUUCUUGCCAGGCGAUCAAGGACAAUGGUGAAAGGGUACAUUAGAACAAGGCAACUGGCCUUGCAAUAGGCUCAUCAAAAAGCAAACAAUUAAACAAAUAGAUACUUUGAAUUAUAGAAUAGACUAGAUUGCAUUUUGAUUUAAGCU